UACGUAGGUGGCAAGCGUUGUCCGGAUUUACUGGGCGUAAAGAGCGUGUAGGCGGCCUGGAAGGUCAGCUGUGAAAACUCGAGGCUCAACCUCGAGACGUCGGUUGAAACCACCUGGCUAGAGUCCGGAAGAGGAGAGUGGAAUUCCCGGUGUAGCGGUGAAAUGCGCAGAUAUCGGGAAGAACACCCGUGGCGAAGGCGGCUCUCUGGGACGGUACUGACGCUGAGACGCGAAAGCGUGGGGAGCGAACAGG
rnacentral:rRNA from 1 species